AUGGGCAAAAAUGUAUUUCCGGCUCUCAAUCUUUUCUAGUCCUCGGCCUACGGCCUCGGACUUAAAAACCGAUUUCGAGCCGGAAAUAUCUCAUUUUCGGCCUUAGGUGCGAAAUAUACUAUUUCAGGUCCACCUUGUAUGAUGUGACUAUCUUCUUAUUCAAUAUUUGUGGUUUUGAGGAAAGCAUUUGCCCAUCAUAUCAAUUAUCAGGCUACUGAAGACAGUGGAUAAAAUUGAUAUGGUGUUUUGUUACCAUGAUAUGGAGGGUAAUGGUGAAUGAGUGUGGGAUGACACUUACAGGACAAUAAGAAUCGCGUUUGAGAGAACUGAAAUGCAUUCUAAGCUAGUAUUUCAUCUUAGCCAAGUAUUCAAGUUUAUGAAACUACUGUCUGUAAGACAGGUAUUACGAUGUAAGCAAAUACAGUUGUAGCAAAUAAUAUUAUAUCUUUGAUAAAUAAAAUUAAUUUGAAUUUA